rnacentral:rRNA from 1 species
CACGCUGUAAACGAUGGAUACUAGCUGUUGGAGGUAUCGACCCCUUCAGUAGCGAAGCUAACGCGUUAAGUAUCCCGCCUGUGGAGUACGGUCGCAAGACUAAAACAUAAAGGAAUUGACGGGGACCCGCACAAGCGGUGGAGCGUGUUCUUUAAUUCGAAGUUAAACGAUAAACCUUACCUGGGUUUGACAUCCUGCGAAUUUUACCGAAAGGUAGAAGUGCCCCAAGAGUACAGAAAAUAUUUUUUGUGUACUGUUGGGGGAACGCAGAGACAGGUGA